GAUGAAGAACGCAGCGAAAUGCGAUAAGUAAUGUGAAUUGCAGAAUUCAGUGAAUCAUCGAAUCUUUGAACGCACAUUGAGCCCCCUGGUAUUCCGGGGGGCAUGCCUGUUCGAGCGUCAUUUCACCACUCAAGCCUCGCUUGGUAUUGGGCAACGCGGUCCGCCGCGUGCCUCAAAUCGACCGGCUGGGUCUUCUGUCCCCUAAGCGUUGUGGAAACUAUUCGCUAAAGGGUGCUCGGGAGGCUACGCCGUAAAACAAACCCAUUUCUAAGGUUGACCUCGGAUCAGGUAGGGAUACCCGCUGAACUUAAGCAUAUCAAUAAGCGGAGGA
rnacentral:misc_RNA from 1 species